rnacentral:rRNA from 1 species
CGCUGGCGGCACGCCUUAUACAUGCAAGUCGAACGAAGUAGCAAUACUUAGUGGCAGACGGGUGAGUAACAUGUAGGUAUCUUCCCUUUGGUGAGGAAUAACACGAGGAAACUUGUGCUAAUACCUCAUAAGUCUUUACGGAGAAAGCUUUAUGCGCCAUUGGAUGAGCCUGCACUUGAUUAGUUUGUUGGUGGGGUAAUGGCCUACCAAGACUGUGAUCAAUAGCUGAUCUGAGAGGAUGAUCAGCCACAUUGGGACUGAGACACGGCCCAAACUCCUACGGGAGGCAGCAGUAGGGAAUAUUGCACAAUGGAGGAAACUCUGAUGCAGCGAUGCCGCGUGAGUGAAGAAGGCCUUUGGGUUGUAAAGCUCUUUCGUCGGGGAAGAAAAUGACUGUACCCGAAUAAGAAGGUCCGGCUAACUUCGUGCCAGCAGCCGCGGUAAUACGAAGGGACCUAGCGUAGUUCGGAAUUACUGGGCUUAAAGAGUUCGUAGGUUGUUAAAAAAGUUGGUGGUGAAAUCCCAGAGCUCAACUCUGGAACUGCCAUCAAAACUUUUUAGCUAGAGUAUGAUAGAGGAAAGCAGAAUUUCUAGUGUAGAGGUGAAAUUCGUAGAUAUUAGAAAGAAUACCAAUUGCGAAGGCAGCUUUCUGGAUCAUUACUGACGCUGAGGAACGAAAGCAUGGGUAGCGAAGAGGAUUAGAUACCCUCGUAGUCCAUGCCGUAAACGAUGUGUGUUAGACGUUGGAAAUUUAUUUUCAGUGUCGCAGCGAAAGCAGUAAACACACCGCCUGGGGAGUACGACCGCAA